rnacentral:lncRNA from 7 species
ACAAACAAGAGCACUAUUAGGUUUGACCUCUUUAGGCCUGGCUGGUUGGUUGGUCAAUGGGACUUUUGUGCACUGUCUCUGAAGCCAGGCAAUGGAAGGGUGUAUAUUGAUGAGAUUCAUUAGCAUGGAAGGAAACAACGUGGUAUUGUACUUGCUUAGCUUUUGCCUACCCACAGACAACUUGAUAGUGGAAAGGUUAUAGGUCUUCGAGGAAGCUUGACUUUGUAGGCUGCCUACUCUGCUAUAUGGACAGUGGGUAUCUUCAGGAUAGAGCCUUUCUAAGGCAACUUAUUGCAUAGAGGCAACAGCUUUUAUCAGUGCUGAUGUUCAGAGAAAACGUGGGCAACAGAGAAAAGAAGAGCCAGACUCUGAAAUGAAGCAUGGAAGGAUAGAUGUGGAACUGCUAAACCUUCAGCUGAGAGGCAACGUUGCUACAAUGGAUUUCUGUCUUUCCACGGGCUGCUAUGGAGUGGAGCUGACAGCUCCUCAUAACAGUGUGUUUCUGUACAGGUUGGGCAGGAGGAGGCCUGGGGCCGCAGCACAAACCACGUGGAAGAUGUGUUUUGGUGUUGGGCAGGUCAACUGCUUUUUAGCUGACGUGGUGCUGUGGGCUGAUUUAUUCCUAUGUUAAGCAUAGAGAUCUCAGCACCUGGGAUGCUUCCUUGCAAGAAGGGCAAGAGGAGGCAGAGCCACACCAAAGGCAGCUUCAUGGGAGCUUUAGGGUGUCUGGCCCCAUAGUGCUUCCACCAGCAAUUAGAGCAGCAACUAGUUCAGUUAGGGGCUGUUUAAAAUGCACUGGUAAAAGCUCUGUUCAUCUUUCAGUCCAGGUCUUGGACUCCAUCAGAACCUGAAUGACUUGGAUGGUGUGACAAGUCCCAUAGAUGGACCUGUGUGGUUGGGGCUCUCUUGCCCAGCCCUUGGUCCACGUGGCUCUGAAAGGGGUUUAGGGGUUUAGCUGGGUGAGAAUCAUAGCCAUAGAGCCAUUCAUGCUGGAAAAGAUCACUAAUUUCAUCUAGUCCAACCAUCAGCCCAUGAACCAUGUCCUUCAGUGCCACAAAGAAGAGCAGCCCUGAUCCAAACCUCCUUGGAGACACUAAUUUUCCCAUUGACUUGGAUUAUUGCCCACUGUUUCCAUUCAGACGUUGUCUCUGGGCAAUCCGAGGCACUAUGCAGUCCGAGCAUGGAAAGACAGCUCGUGUCCUGAAGGGCUCACACAUCGAGCACGUGGGCUCUGGCUGUGAACCCAGAGAUCAGCCAGGAGCAUAUGGUCCCUAAGAGGUGUGGCUUGUAUUGCUAAAAGCGCCUGGAAUACUGGAAACCAAAGGCAUUCUGCAUCUCCCCCUUCCUUUCCCUCCUGCAAAAAUUCCUGUCAGUGAGAGCCGUAAUCCAAAAUUUAGAGCAGCUCCACAAAAAGUGGGGGGGAAAGGGAGACCCUCUUUGGCCACAGAGAGUGGUGCCUAUGUUUUCUACCCUUAGCAGUCCUCUUCCAGGGGUACUGCGAUGCUGUGGACUGAUCCAUACCACACGAUGGCUGUCGUGGGGCUGUAUUGUUUUACAACCUUGUGUUUCCACCUUCUUAAAUUUCAGCAUGUGCUUGAGCCCUGUCCUAAAUGGAGACCAUCUCAAGCCUUUGCUGAAGUGCUUUCCUGAAGCAGGGCCAACGGCUGUGGGAAUUCUCUUGCCUUUUCUGCUGUGUGUGUGCUCACUGUGGCUGGCUGGGUAUUUACUGCAAGAAAAAACAUCACUUGAUUGAGUUGCAGCUGGCUAAGUGACUGAGAGUAGGCAGGUUAGGAGAGCAUGCAUAUCUGACCGUGCCCACUCUCUUGUUUCUAUGAUCCUAAUUCUGCUCUAAAUUAAUUCUUUUGUUUAGCUGCUGGGUUUUGUGUGGGCUUUUUUCUCUCCUUUUUGUUUUCGCAUGAAUGCUUGUCUCUAUAUUUAGCUCUGCCAGGAUGGGAUGUUACAAAUAAUUGUUGAUUUGAUGUUAUUAAACACUAACACG